rnacentral:rRNA from 1 species
GACGAACGCUGGCGGCGUGCUUAACACAUGCAAGUCGAACGGGAUCCGGGCUUUCGGGUUUGGUGAGAGUGGCGAACGGGUGAGUAACACGUGAGUAACCUGCCCCCUUCUUUGGGAUAACGUCGGGAAAUCGGCGCUAAUACUGGAUAUUCUUGCUGCAUCGCAUGGUGUGGUUUGGAAAGGGUUUCUGGUGGGGGAUGGGCUCGCGGCCUAUCAGCUUGUUGGUGGGGUGAUGGCCUACCAAGGCUUUGACGGGUAGCCGGCCUGAGAGGGUGUCCGGCCACACUGGGACUGAGACACGGCCCAGACUCCUACGGGAGGCAGCAGUGGGGAAUAUUGCACAGUGGGCGCAAGCCUGAUGCAGCGACGCCGCGUGAGGGAUGACGGCCUUCGGGUUGUAAACCUCUUUCAGUAUGGAACAAGGAUCCUUCUUUUGGGGGGUUUGAGGGUACGUGCAGAAGAAGCGCCGGCUAACUACGUG